rnacentral:rRNA from 1 species
GGAGGUGAACCUGCGGAAGGAUCAUUA